AUUAGAUACCCCACUAUGCUCAACUUUAAAAUGGAUCUUCCCGCCAGAGCACUACGAGCUACAGCUUAAAACUCAAAGGACUUGGCGGUGCUCUACACCCACCUAGAGGAGCCUGUUCUAUAAUCGACACCCCCCGAUAAACCUCACCAUCUCUUGCCACUACAGCCUAUAUACCACCGCCCUCAGUUCACCUCUUAAAAGAACAAUAGUGAACAAAAUAAUUAAAAAUAAAAAAGUCAGGUCAAGGUGUAGCAAAUGAAAUGGGAAGAAAUGGGCUACAUUUUUUAUUAUAAAAAACACGGAAUAUCACAUGAAAUAAGAUAUAAAGGAGGAUUUAGAAGUAAAAAGAAAAAAGAGUGUUCUUUUUAAAUUGGCAAUAGAGCACGCACACACCGCCCGUCACCCUCUUCAAGAAUAAAAUAAUUUAAAUAAAGAUAUAUAUUUACAAGAAAAGGUAAGUCGUAACAUGGUAAGUCUACCGGAAGGUGGCCUUGGAUAUCAAAAUAUAGCUUAAAUAAAGCAUUUUGCUUACACCAAAAAAACAUUUGUAAAACCAGAUUAUUUUGAAUUUUAAAUCUAGCCUAAACAUAAAACACUAAUUCCUAAUACACAAAACAUUAUUAUAUAAUAGUAAGGGCGACAGGAAAA
rnacentral:rRNA from 1 species